rnacentral:rRNA from 1 species
GACGAACGCUGGCGGCGUGCCUAAUACAUGCAAGUCGAACGCAGUUGGGACGGGUGAGUAACACGUGGGUAACCUCCCAUCAGAGGGGAUAACACUUGGAAACAGGUGCUAAACCGAUACUGAUGGUUGGACCCGCGGUGCAUUAGCUAGUGGGUGAGGUAACGGAUCACAAAGGCCAGGAUGCAUAGCGGACGUAGAGGGGUGAGCGGCAAAACUGGAACGGGGACAGGGCCCAGACUCCUAGGGGGGUAAGCAGUGGGAAAGCUUGGGAAAGGGACGAAAGUCUGACCGAGCAACGCCGCGUGAGUGAAGAAGGUUGUCGGAUGGUAAAACUCUGUUGUUAGAGAGGCGGUAACUAACCAGAAAGCGACGGCUAACUACGUGCCAGCCGCCGCGGUAAUAC